rfam:Eucalyptus grandis cultivar BRASTZ1 unplaced genomic scaffold scaffold_5, whole genome shotgun sequence.
AAGCGAAUGGCAGGGCAAUUCUCCUUUGGCGUAAGCAAGAACAACCUCAACAUUUGCAUGCAUGACAGUGCAGUUCUCUUAUGCCAAAGGAGAAUUGCCCUGUUAUUCGCCA